GGCGAAGUAGCUCAGUCGGUUAGAGCAGUGGAAUCAUAAUCCACGUGUCCGGGGUUCGAAUCCCUGCUUCGCUA
rfam:Leptonema illini DSM 21528 genomic scaffold Lepilscaffold_1, whole genome shotgun sequence.